rnacentral:rRNA from 1 species
AGAGUUUGAUCCUGGCUCAGGAUGAACGCUGGCGGCGUGCUUAACACAUGCAAGUCGAACGAGGUCCAUGGAGCUUGCUCCGGAAGAUCUAGUGGCGAACGGGUGCAUAACACGUGAGAAACCUGCCUCAGUCUCUGGGAUAACAGUUGGAAACGACUGCUAAUACCGGAUGCCGUCACACCAUCACAUGGUGGAGUGACGAAAGAUUUAUCGGAUUGAGAGGGUCUCGCGGCCUAUCAGCUAGUUGGAGAGGUAACGGCUCACCAAGGCAUCGACGGGUAGCUGGUCUGAGAGGAUGAUCAGCCACACUGGGACUGAGACACGGCCCAGACUCCUACGGGAGGCAGCAGUGGGGAAUCUUGCACAAUGGGCGAAAGCCUGAUGCAGCAACGCCGCGUGCGGGAAGAAGGCCCUAGGGUUGUAAACCGCUUUCAGUAGGGAAGAAAAUGACGGUACCUACAGAAGAAGGUGCGGCCAACUACGUGCCAGCAGCCGCGGUAAU